AGUGAACGCUGGCGGUAGGCCUAACACAUGCAAGUCGAACGGCAGCACAGUAAGAGCUUGCUCUUACGGGUGGCGAGUGGCGGACGGGUGAGGAAUACAUCGGAAUCUACUUUUUCGUGGGGGAUAACGUAGGGAAACUUACGCUAAUACCGCAUACGACCUACGGGUGAAAGCAGGGGAUCUUCGGACCUUGCGCGAUUGAAUGAGCCGAUGUCGGAUUAGCUAGUUGGCGGGGUAAAGGCCCACCAAGGCGACGAUCCGUAGCCGAUCUGAGAGGAUGAUCAGCCACACUGGAACUGAGACACGGUCCAGACUCCUACGGGAGGCAGCAGUGGGGAAUAUUGGACAAUGGGCGCAAGCCUGAUCCAGCCAUACCGCGUGGGUGAAGAAGGCCUUCGGGUUGUAAAGCCCUUUUGUUGGGAAAGAAAAGCAGCAGGUUAAUACCCCGCUGUUCUGACGGUACCCAAAGAAUAAGCACCGGCUAACUUCGUG
rnacentral:rRNA from 1 species